rnacentral:rRNA from 1 species
UACGUAGGGGGCAAGCGUUGUCCGGAUUUAUUGGGCGUAAAGAGCGUGUAGGCGGCCUGAAAGGUCAGCUGUGAAAACUCGAGGCUCAACCUCGAGACGUCGGUUGAAACCAUCUGGCUAGAGUCCGGAAGAGGAGUGUGGAAUUCCCGGUGUAACGGUGAAAUGCGCAGAUAUCGGGAAGAACACCCGUGGCGAAGGCGGCACUCUGGGACGGUACUGACGCUGAGACGCGAAAGCGUGGGGAGCGAACAGG